rnacentral:lncRNA from 10 species
AGAUGUGAGGGUGAUCUGGCUGCGACAUCUGUCACCUCAUUGAUUGCCAGAGUUGAUUCGGCUGAUCUGGCUGGCUAGGCGGCUGUUCCCUUCUUCCCUCAUUGCUCCAUGUGCAUCCCUCCCAAAGCUGUGCAUUGGGUGGAGGAGGACGAACAUCCCCAAUAGAGGAAGACCAAUAGAGAGUAUACAAGUAGCUGUGCUCCCCUGCUAGAACCUCCAAACAAGCUCUCAAGAAUGGUGAUUUACCAGGCAGACCUUAAAUUUGCUUUGCUGGAAAUUUUUGUGAGGAAUUU